AGUGAACGCUGGCGGUAGGCCUAACACAUGCAAGUCGAACGGCAGCACAGUAAGAGCUUGCUCUUACGGGUGGCGAGUGGCGGACGGGUGAGGAAUACAUCGGAAUCUACUUUUUCGUGGGGGAUAACGUAGGGAAACUUACGCUAAUACCGCAUACGACCUACGGGUGAAAGCAGGGGAUCUUCGGACCUUGCGCGAUUGAAUGAGCCGAUGUCGGAUUAGCUAGUUGGCGGGGUAAAGGCCCACCAAGGCGACGAUCCGUAGCUGGUCUGAGAGGAUGAGCAGCCACACUGGAACGGAGACACGGUCCAGACUCCUACGGGAGGCAGCAGUGGGGAAUAUUGGACAAUGGGCGCAAGCCUGAUCCAGCCAUACCGCGUGGGUGAAGAAGGACUUCGGGUUGUAAAGCCCUUUUGUUGGGAAAGAAAAGCAGCAGGUUAAUACCCCGCUGUUCUGACGGUACCAAAAGAAUAAGCACCGGCUAACUUCGUG
rnacentral:rRNA from 1 species